rfam:Clostridium sp. CAG:7 genomic scaffold, scf210
UGAGUAAGACAGAUGGUCGCUGCUGCGACACCGAGAGGACGCAGGAGAGGAAAGUCCGGGCUUCACAGGGCAGGAUGCCAGAUAACGUCUGGCGGGGGUGACCCUAGGGACAGUGCAACAGAAAUAUACCGCCCGCUGCAUUUGCAGCAGGUAAGGGUGGAAUGGCAGUGUAAGAGACUACCGCCCGGCUGGUAACAGGCGGGGCACAUGUAAACCCCAUCCGAAGCAAGACCAAACAGAGAGCAUAUGGCGGCCCGUCAGCUUUCGGGUAGGUUGCUUGAUGCUGCUGGCGACAGUAGUACUAGAUAGAUGACCAUCCAACGACAUAACCCGGCUUACCGUUUUACUCACAAC